rnacentral:pre_miRNA from 1 species
UUGGUCAGUUGCUCAGUAGGCAGUGUAGAUCCUGUAUAAUGAUCAGCAGCUACAUCUGGCUACUGGGUCUCUGAAGACACGC